GAUAUAAUUAUCUUAAUUUAUUUUAGUUUUGUAUGUUUAUUAUUUUUUAUAGUUUAUUUUUACUGUGGAGGUUGUUUGAAAUAUUUUGAAAUAUAUUUUAUUAUAAAAGUUUAUUUAAUUUAUAGUACCUUUUGUAUCAGGGUUUAUUAAAAAUUUUUUAUUUAUUAUAAUAUUCUCGAUUUAAAUAAGAGUUAAUAUAUUAUUUUAGUUAACGUUUUAUAGUUAUUAAAUAUAGUAUAUUUGAAAUGAGAUGUUAUUCGUUUUUUAAGAUAUCUCGUUUUUUAAGAUUUAAAUUUAAUUUAUUUAUUUAAGGAGUAGUUUUAUAUAAAGUUUUAUUUUAUAUUUAUUGAUUGUAGGCUUUAAAUUAGCUUUCAUUUUGAGUUUGUUAUAAAUUUACAAAUUUUAGAUUAAAAUUUUAUAAUUUUUUUAUGUUUUGUAUUAAAAUGAAUUUAUUAAUUUUUUAUAAUUUGUAAUAAUGAUUAAAUUAGUAUAAUUAUAUUUAUGAAGUUUUUAUUUUAAGUUAAUUUAUUAUAAGGAAUUAGGCAAAUUUAAUGCUCGCCUGUUUAUCAAAAACAUGUUCUUUUGUAUUAUAAUUUAAGAUUUGACCUGCCCACUGAUUAAUUUGAAGGGCCGCGGUAUUUUGACCGUGCAAAGGUAGCAUAAUCAUUAGUCCUUUAAUUGUGGACUGGAAUGAAUGGUUUGACGAGGUAUUAGCUGUCUCAUAUUAAGAAUUUUGAAUUUAACUUUUAAGUUAAAAGGCUUAAAUUAUUUUAUAGGACGAGAAGACCCUAUAGAGCUUAAUAAUUAAAUAUUUAAUGUAUUUUUAGUUUAUUAUUUUUAUUAAAUAUUUAAUUAUUUUAUUGGGGUGAUGUAAAGAAUUAAUAAACUCUUUAUUUUUAAAAACAUUGAUUUAUGAUUGAUUGAUCCAUUAUUAAUGAUUAUAAGAUUAAGUUACCUUAGGGAUAACAGCGUUAUUUUUUUUGAGAGUUCUUAUCAACAAAAAAGAUUGCGACCUCGAUGUUGGAUUAAGGUAAAUAUUGGGUGUAGAAGUUCAAUAAAUUGGUCUGUUCGACCAUUAAAUCCUUACAUGAUCUGAGUUCAGACCGGUGUAAGCCAGGUCGGUUUCUAUCCUUAAUAUAUUAAUAUAUUUUAGUACGAAAGGACCAAAUAUUUGAAAAAUUUUUAGUUAUUUGAAUAAUAAUAAUUUAUUUU
rnacentral:rRNA from 1 species